UACGUAGGGGGCAAGCGUUGUCCGGAUUUAUUGGGCGUAAAGAGCUCGUAGGUGGUUUGGUAAGUCGGAUGUGAAAUCCCCAGGCUCAACCUGGGAACUGCAUCCGAUACUGGAUGGCUUGAAUUCGGGAGAGGGAUGCAGAAUUCCAGGUGUAGCGGUGAAAUGCGUAGAUAUCAGGAAGAACACCCGUGGCUAAGGCGGCUCUCUAGUACGGUACUGACGCUGAGACGCGAAAGCGUGGGGAGCGAACAGG
rnacentral:rRNA from 1 species